UGAAGCUCUUGUUUGCACUCAAGAUUGGAUGAGGCGUGCAGGUCCUAUCACCGACGAAGAGGAUACUGAGGAGUUAGCCAAGCUGGAAGAAGCACUUCUUGCGGAAAUGGAAGCUCUGAAAAUUGCCAAGACUGCUGCUAAAGACAAUGAGAUUGUCAAUGUUGAGUGAUACUUAAGUUGCUCGUGCUGUCUGCUGGUGUUGUGCUGUACUGCUGUUACAGCCAGCAUGCAUGUAUGGAGUCAUGGAGAAGGGUGGAACCGUGGAA